GCGCCCGUAGCUCAACUGGAUAGAGCGCUUGGCUACGGACCAAGAGGUUGGGGGUUCGAGUCCCUCCGGGCGCGCCG
rnacentral:tRNA from 1 species